GAUGAACGCUGGCGGCGUGCCUAAUACAUGCAAGUCGAGCGAAUGGAUUAAGAGCUUGCUCUUAUGAAGUUAGCGGCGGACGGGUGAGUAACACGUGGGUAACCUGCCCAUAAGACUGGGAUAACUCCGGGAAACCGGGGCUAAUACCGGAUAACAUUUUGGACCGCAUGGUUCGAAAUUGAAAGGCGGCUUCGGCUGUCACUUAUGGAUGGACACGCGUCGCAUUAGCUAGUUGGUGAGGUAACGGCUCACCAAGGCAACGAUGCGUAGCCGACCUGAGAGGGUGAUCGGCCACACUGGGACUGAGACACGGCCCAGACUCCUACGGGAGGCAGCAGUAGGGAAUCUUCCGCAAUGGACGAAAGUCUGACGGAGCAACGCCGCGUGAGUGAUGAAGGCUUUCGGGUCGUAAAACUCUGUUGUUAGGGAAGAACAAGUGCUAGUUGAAUAAGCUGGCACCUUGACGGUACCUAACCAGAAAGCCACGGCUAACUACGUGCCAGCAGCCGCCGUAA
rnacentral:rRNA from 1 species